AGAGUUUGAUCCUGGCUCAGGAUGAACGCUGGCGGCGCGCCUAACACAUGCAAGUCGAACGGCACCCCUCUCCGGAGGGAAGCGAGUGGCGAACGGCUGAGUAACACGUGGAGAACCUGCCCCCUCCCCCGGGAUAGCCGCCCGAAAGGACGGGUAAUACCGGAUACCCCGGGGUGCCGCAUGGCACCCCGGCUAAAGCCCCGACGGGAGGGGAUGGCUCCGCGGCCCAUCAGGUAGACGGCGGGGUGACGGCCCACCGUGCCGACAACGGGUAGCCGGGUUGAGAGACCGACCGGCCAGAUUGGGACUGAGACACGGCCCAGACUCCUACGGGAGGCAGCAGUGGGGAAUCUUGCGCAAUGGGGGGAACCCUGACGCAGCGACGCCGCGUGCGGGACGGAGGCCUUCGGGUCGUAAACCGCUUUCAGCAGGGAAGAGUCAAGACUGUACCUGCAGAAGAAGCCCCGGCUAACUACGUGCCAGCAGCCGCGGUAAUACGUAGGGGGCGAGCGUUAUCCGGAUUCAUUGGGCGUAAAGCGCGCGUAGGCGGCCCGGCAGGCCGGGGGUCGAAGCGGGGGGCUCAACCCCCCGAAGCCCCCGGAACCUCCGCGGCUUGGGUCCGGUAGGGGAGGGUGGAACACCCGGUGUAGCGGUGGAAUGCGCAGAUAUCGGGUGGAACACCGGUGGCGAAGGCGGCCCUCUGGGCCGAGACCGACGCUGAGGCGCGAAAGCUGGGGGAGCGAACAGGAUUAGAUACCCUGGUAGUCCCAGCCGUAAACGAUGGACGCUAGGUGUGGGGGGACGAUCCCCCCGUGCCGCAGCCAACGCAUUAAGCGUCCCGCCUGGGGAGUACGGCCGCAAGGCUAAAACUCA
rnacentral:rRNA from 1 species